rnacentral:rRNA from 1 species
UACGUAGGGUGCGAGCGUUUAAUCGGAAUUACUGGGCGUAAAGCGUGCGUAGGCGGUUCGCUGUGUCCGAUGUGAAAGCCCCGGGCUUAACCUGGGAACUGCGAUGGAAACUAGCGAGCUGGAGUGUGGCAGAGGGGGUGGAAUUCCGCGUGUAGCAGUGAAAUGCGUAGAGAUGCGGAGGAACACCGAUGGCGAAGGCAGCCCCCUGGGCUAACACUGACGCUCAGGCACGAAAGCGUGGGGAGCAAACAGG